AGUCUUUUUAAUCAUACAUAUCAUUUCACAAACAUUAUCUCCAGGGUUUAGAUUUAAUCUGACAAAUGUGCAGCAAUGAAAAAUAAUCUUGAAUUUAAUGGUUCCCUCCAUAGGGAUCUUGUAUUGUUGUAGUCUGCAGCAAUAUGAGUAUAUUAUUAAAUAUACAUGUGUAUAUAGUAGUUUCUUUUCUUAAUAUAGUCACUGUCUAUAACAUUUUUUCAAAAGGCCAAAUAGACCAAAGUUCACUGUAUAGGUUAUUAUGUAAUCAAAUUUUGUAUGAUUGUAUGAAUAAUUUAUUGAUUUCAGAAUGAAUGUUAAUCUCGGAGAGAGAGAAAUAGAGAACGGUUUUAAAAUGCAUAUCAUUUUUAUUGUAAAUAAUUAAGUACUUACUGCUAUAUGUAUAUAUGUAUGUGACAAGACGCAUUAUAUAAACUAAUAUGAUGACCCAUAGAAAGAUGUCAUUAUCUUAAGGUGUGCUCUUUUUCAUAUAUUUUUCUUAAUAAUGACCUUCUACAUUAAUGUAAACAAUUUUCACCCUGAUUUAUUGUAAAAGCAGGGUCUUUUUUAUGAAAUUUAUCUUCAAUUUCUUGUCAUUGUUCAGCCGUUGUUGACCUUGUGUUACUUAUAUAGUAAAGUUAUUUGUUUUCCCUGAGGCUUGUACAGGGCAUUUGUUUCACAUUGAUGUAUGAACAAACAACAGAUUUAGAAAUCCAGAGUUGUUCCACAACAGCCACUGUAAAAACUAGCUUGGUCUCUUUCAUAUUGUAUUCUUCCUGUGCAAUUCAGUGCAUCAAAAUCUGUAUAUUUUUGGUGAAUAUAAUAUCAUCAGGGAUUCAAAAAUUUGAUGAAUGGUAAUCUAUAGAAAAUGUUGCCGAUUUUGAGGGAGGCUUGUAUUUGUGUAUAACUGAGACUUUUACUGGGUCUGUGAGAGAAUGGUGGGAUAUGUGAGAAUGGGCAGAACUUUGUGAGAAAUUAUUGCUAUCAUUGAAAACCAACGCCAGUACUGACCAUGGGCGCCUUCUGGAGAUCUCUGUAUCAACUAAUUUAGAUCUAAUUUACACAAUAGAAAACUUGUAUAAGUUUACAAAUUAAUGUUUGAGAGACUCCAUUUUAGAAAAAAAAGUAAAGCAGUCAAUCAAUACAAUCUGAUCCCAACAGGAAUUUAAUUCUUAAUUGUGGAUGAUCCAAUGGGAAUGAGGCACAAUAAAGAUGAAUUCAGUAAUUGGUCCCUGGUCCGUAGGUCUACAGUGAUGGAUCGUAGCAUGUAAGAGACUAGCUGCAGAGCUGUAGCUCCAAGUCUGAAAAAAAUUGAGUGGAUGAUCCAGGUCUACAGACCUGCAGCUAGAGAGAGAGAGAGAGAGACUGAUGAGCUAGAGAUUGUAUGUUCUUAUUGUACUUGUUUGUUGUUCAGAAGUUCAUUGGUGAAAUGUGUGUAGUCUAAAAAACCAUACAAAAUAAACAGAAAACAUC
rnacentral:misc_RNA from 1 species